rnacentral:lncRNA from 10 species
AGCAGUGAGAGGAGGCAGCUGAGAAUGACUUCCAUGUUCUUGCCCUGGGAGACUGGACAAUGGGACUGCCAUUUGCCACGUCUGGAAAUGUAUACCAAGACCCCAGAGACCUUUUUGAUCUCAUCCAUCUUGAGGGAUGCGGCCUAAAGCACAUACAGUCCUCCAAAGAAAAAGUAAUGCCGUGUUACAAAACAGGUUUCCUAUUUUGAUGCACCUGGACAUACCGAGGACUAAACUGUCCUUAGAAGGGAUGUGCACAUUCACAUCAAGACACAAGACAACACCAUCAGACUUCUGGAAAUUAUUUAAAACUUAAGUUUUGGUUAUGGAUUACUGUUGGAGCCACAUCUCUGAAGGACAAUAAUAAAUGGAUUCCAGACACAUGGACAGACCCAGAAGACUCCAAAGCAGGGGCAAUAUUGCCUGUUUCUAGCAAACCCAUAAAAAUGAAACAAUUGGGCACCAAUUGUUUUAGAAAAGCCCACUCUCUUCAAAUGUGAGAUGAAAAAUGAGAAGAAAAAGGUGUUAAGAAGGACCUAAUUAAGAAUUUUUAUGUUACGUAUUUGAACAACUUGACUCUGAUGCAACAUCAUGAUGUAGGGAAUGGUUCAGAAGUCAUACUCGUGAAGUAGAAAGAAAAGAAAAACAAACAGAAAGUUGCACCAGAAUUAGUGUGGCACUGGUUUAUUUCCUACCUGAUUGUAAAGGAAAAAUUGAGAUAUGCUAAUUUAUCAUGCAGCCGCAUAACUUCAUAAUGCAAAAUUUAUGAGAAGAGAUGAGAGGAAAUUGGAGAGGAACAUUAUGGGAGCAAUAAAUACUUAUAUAUACUUAUAUAUAAUACUUAUAUAUAAUUGCAAAUAUUAUAAUGCUGUUGCAUAUUAGUUGAGACCAUUUAGGUGAUUAUUUAGGCUAAAAGUAUAUAUAUAUAUAUAUAUAUAUAUAUAUAUUUAAUUAAAAUACUAUUUAACUGAGCCUCUUGUAGGGGUUAAGUACCCUUCUAGGUAUUGGGGAUACAUCAAUUUCCCAUAUAAAGAUUCCUGUAGAAAUCUAUAUAUAUAUAUA